GACGAACGCUGGCGGCGCGCCUAACACAUGCAAGUCGAACGGAGCUGAGAGGAGCUUGCUUUUUCUCAGCUUAGUGGCGAACGGGUGAGUAACGCGUGAGUAACCUGCCCUGGAGUGGGGGACAACAGUUGGAAACGACUGCUAAUACCGCAUAAGCCCACGGAUCCGCAUGGAUCUGCGGGAAAAGGAUUUAUUCGCUUCAGGAUGGACUCGCGUCCAAUUAGCUAGUUGGUGAGGUAACGGCCCACCAAGGCGACGAUUGGUAGCCGGACUGAGAGGUUGGAACGGCCACAUUGGGACUGAGACACGGCCCAGACUCCUACGGGAGGCAGCAGUGGGGGAUAUUGCACAAUGGGGGAAACCCUGAUGCAGCGACGCCGCGUGGAGGAAGAAGGUUUUCGGAUUGUAAACUCCUGUCGUUAGGGACGAUAAUGACGGUACCUAAC
rnacentral:rRNA from 1 species